rnacentral:rRNA from 1 species
CGGCGAGUGAAGCGGCAACAGCUCAAAUUUGAAAGCUGGCCCCCUUGGGGUCCGCGUUGUAAUUUGUAGAGGAUGGUUCGGCGAGGGCUCCCGUCUAAGUCCCUUGGAACAGGGCGUCACAGAGGGUGAGAAUCCCGUAUGUGAUGGGUUGCCUUAGCCAUGUGAACCUCCUUCGACGAGUCGAGUUGUUUGGGAAUGCAGCUCUAAAUGGGAGGUAAAUUUCUUCUAAAGCUAAAUACCGGCCAGAGACCGAUAGCGCACAAGUAGAGUGAUCGAAAGAUGAAAAGCACUUUGGAAAGAGAGUUAAAAAGUACGUGAAAUUGUUGAAAGGGAAGCGCUUGCAGCCAGACUUGUCCGCAGUUGCUCAGCCGGUCUCCUGACCGGUGCACUCUUCUGCGGCCAGGCCAGCAUCAGUUCGGGCGGUCGGAUAAAGGCCUCGGGAAUGUAGCUCCUCUCGGGGAGUGUUAUAGCCCGGGGCAGAAUGCGGCCAGCCUGGACUGAGGAUCUCGCUUCGGCUAGGAUGCUGGCGUAAUGGCUGUAAGCGGCCCGUCUUGAAACACGGACCAAGGAGUCUAACAUCUAUGCGAGUGUUUGGGUGUCAAACCCAUGCGCGUAAUGAAAGUGAACGGAGGUGGGAACCCUCACGGGUGCACCAUCGACCGAUCCUGAUGUCUUCGGAUGGAUUUGAGUAAGAGCAUAGCUGUUGGGACCCGAAAGAUGGUGAACUAUGCCUGAAUAGGGUGAAGCCAGAGGAAACUCUGGUGGAGGCUCGCAGCGGUUCUGACGUGCAAAUCGAUCGUCAAAUUUGGGUAUAGGGGCGAAAGACUAAUCGAACCAUC